rnacentral:lncRNA from 1 species
AUGUGGGUUCUUCUUUGCGCCUUUAGCAGAUGGUGUUCACACCGGACCGUCGCUACCCAAUGCUGGCGCAUGGACCAAUGUUGCAAGAGGAUUGGUGUGAAAUGUCGAAGGGAUGCAAUUAUCGUGAAUGUUCCUUCAGGCUUUUUCUUUCACAUCUCUAUUCCAAUUUACUUGAAUUCCAGCCUGGCACAAUCCACAAUUUUUAAUUUCUCCUCUACGAUCAAUUUUCAAACGGUUGGUAUUUUCAUGAGUUGUAAAGGACACCAUCCACCUGAAAACUGACUCAAAAGCUUGCGUAGUGAUGCGUGAAGGUGGGAGUUUAAAUUCAGAUGCGGAAAAUGCGCAUUUAGGUGUGUUUACACAGACUUUUCUUUGGAACUGGCCGCUUGAACGUGCGUUGCUGAGGCUGGUGUGAACAUAGCAUCAUAAAGUGGGUUGAUUACUGAAUUAGUGAUUGUUUUUAUAUAUUUAAGAGGAACAAACAAAUAUCUGACAAGUUGUGAUUUUGAUUUAAACAAAAAAAACACACACAAAACAACUGCAAAGUUUUGUCUGUCUUUUAAAGCUAAUCAUGAUCAUACAGGUCAGAGCACAAAAGUGACAUAGCUGCAAGUCAUGUCAAUAGAGAUGGUCAGUUCUUACAUUGACCAGGGCUGGAUCCGAAGAUGAGAGAAGCACAGUUGAUUGAAUGUCUGUCAGUCUCUCAGUUAGGAUCAAAUAUUCAUUGUUAUGUAACAAUAAGUCAUGUCCAUGUCAACGCCUUCAGAGCUGUUCACAUCAAAAUAUUUCCUUUACAGAAAUAUAAAAAUGGACUGUUGACAUAAAUCAUAUGGAACCGUAUCCGAGAACAAAACCAGUAAAAGUAUGACAAGAUAAAACAAAGAACUCCUCAGAUUCGCAAACGCUGUGCGUUUGUCAGACCUAUUUUUUAUUAUUUUAUAAACAUCAGUCAACUAGGCAUUAGAGCAACUUACUGUAUAAAUUAUGCAGAGUUAUUUUCAUAUGUGACACAGUUAAAAAAGAAAAGAGAAAUCAAGAGAUAAUACGAGUUGACCUCGGUCAAAAAUGCAAAUCUUUGAAGUCCAUUUCUGCUAAAUAGUUUGUCGAGCAUUUAAGCGUUUUUAUAUAUCUGUACAUUUGGGCAAUGCAGUUUUAGAUUUUUGUUUUCUUGUUGUUGUUAUUAUUUCUGUUCAUUUGGUUGUAACAUCCCGAGUGCUUGUAAGUGUAAAAGAUGUGUUGUCGUGCUUGCGAGCCCACAAGUGCCUCUGCUCAAAUCAUGACCCAAUAGUCGGGGAUUUUUGUUUUUUUCCCCCACUCUGUAUGUAACAUGUGGCGUUGAGGGAUCUGCUCAUCGCCACACACUUUUCAUGUCUGGAUUCCAAGCUAGCCCUGUGCUUUAUGGUAUUUUGGUCUUUUUGCGCUACAUAACACAGACAGCAUCAAUAACUCCUGUUGAAGAUGUAUAGCUUUAAAAAAAUGAAAAGGGAACAUGUAAUUUGUAGUAUAAAGAAAUUAUUCUUGUGUACCCUCAACAUUCAUGUUUCAUAAGCAUUAUCAGUGAAAAAGGAUCUGUGCUACUUCAUAUAUGCAUUGUAUUUUGGAUAUCAAAUAUAUAAAUAUAUUAUAAAUAUAUAUUUGUGUGUAUAACUUUUACAAUUAAGCUUUGAAUUAUUAAUAUUGUCAUUCCUGCUAUGUAUGAAGGAAAACCUUUUGAAAAAGAGCUUUUGUAUAGGAAAAUGUGACAAAAAUAAAUGUUUUUACCUCUUCCAUAAUCUUUCAUUGCUUUGCUCUUGGGAUUAGUAUAUCUUGAUAGGUAAAAAUAAGAAUAAGCUGCAACAUAGAUACAGUUUUCACACUAAUGCAUUUUUGGAUUAUAAGUACGUCCCUGUUGUCUUGGUAGUUACUUUUUGCUAAAAUCUGCUAAACAAACCAACCGUUGGGGUAAACAUGCAAACAGGGAAAAAAGUCCCCAACUAUCAGAUACUGCUCUGAAAGCUCACCACCUUAGAGAAGACAUAAGCCAAUGGAGAAGAGAAAGCUGAAAGCUGCUUGAGCCAAGUGCAGAAACAAAACUGUGAAACUGAAGCUGUGCCAGCUCAGUAUCCAAGAAGGUUGAAAGAGAAGAAGGAGACAUGUUUUAAAAAAACAUAUAUAAGGAAUUACAUAGAAGAGAUUAAAUAGAGGCUUAAAGUAGAACUGUCUCUCACAGAUCUAUUUUAACUUUAAUGAGCUAAUUGUAAAAUAUCUGGAAAUUUUGAUCUCACCAAAGUCAGAAAACUAGAAACAUCUCUCAAGGCAGAGGGGACCAAAUAAAACAACAACAACAAAAAAGAUAGAAUAUGUCCUACAUGACCAUUAGACCAUAGACAGCAAUGGCAGACAAAACAGUCCUUCCUUUUCCAAGACUAUGUCUGUGAAGACUCUCAUUCAUCCAGGUUGAUUCCAUCACAGUAAUAGGUUUAAAAAUUGUCAUCACAGUCCAGAUGACAACUUUUAAAUCUACUACUGUGAUUUUCCAAGACUACUUUAAGAGCUUCUGCAGAAAGAGGAGGCCAACAAUAAAAGCUCUGAUGAGGUCUACAUGAAAACUCUUGACCGACUACAUCAGUAGAUGGGAAGCUAAAAGAAAAACAAGAACAUAUUUACUUCACCAGCCAAAUCCUCAAGUGUGAAACGUGAAACAGGGUAAGGACCACAGCCAAAAGCGUCUUAGCCCAGGAGGUGGAAGAGUCCAAUAAGUUAGGAUGUGCAUUGGUCCAAAGAAAGAAUGACCUUCAAAGCCAGAAGCAGUGGUCGGGAAAAAGAAGCACAAUCCGAAAGCACAAUCAAAAGGCAUCAGCAAAAAUGUCAGAUGCUUUAACAGUGACAGAAAGCAGUUGACACUGAACAGACAGAAGAGGCAACAAGAAAACUCCACGCAUUUCCAAGAAAUUUCUCAACUAAAAGAGCUUAUUAAAGAGCAAAAGGCAAAAAUGAACUUCUUUUCCAUGAAGAAGUCUUCAUGGAAAAGCUUGACCAACAACAAGAGCAGGUUGACAGGUUAAAAGGAAGUACUAGAAGUUCCUGAGGAUUUUUAAAAGAUCUGGAUAUCAAGAUUAGAUCUUCUAACUGCUGCCUAUAACCCUUGUGCUAUCCUAGGCACUUUAACAUUGGAAGUUGGGUCAUGUAGACCCACUAAACAGUGUGUUGAACCUUUUUUCUUCAAUGAUUUGUGAUCUUCGCUGGUGUCCAUGGAUUACAUGAAAUCUUUCCACCUUUAUUCACCUUUGUCAUGGUAGGGAGAACACGUUAAUGCAAGGGUAGGGUCAUCUAAGAUAACAGAAGGGUUAAAACUUGCUCAAUAAUUCAAAACUUUAUUUUUCCAUAAUAAAUUAAUUUCUACUUUAGCUCUUACCAAAACUGUAACCCAGUUUUGUCAACACCUAUUUGUUGGAGAAGCAAUCUUAAACUGGAUUUUAAGAUCAUGGCUGGUCUUGCAUAAGUUUUUUAUGAAAAAAAAACAACUGAAUUUUUUUAAUGGGUGAUGUGAUACUAGUUUCAUGUAGUUUUUUUACUCUACGAAAUUGCAUUCAAAGUACCUUUGGUACAAAUCUCUGAUCAUUUUUUAUUU